rnacentral:tRNA from 1 species
GCGCGGGUGGCGGAAUUGGUAGACGCGCUGGCUUCAGGUGCCAGUACUCGCAAGGGUGUGGGGGUUCAAGUCCCCCCUCGCGCACAA